AUUGAACGCUGGCGGCAUGCCUUACACAUGCAAGUCGAACGGCAGCACGGGAGCAAUCCUGGUGGCGAGUGGCGAACGGGUGAGUAAUAUAUCGGAACGUGCCCAGUCGUGGGGAUAACGUAGCGAAAGCUACGCUAAUACCGCAUACGAUCUAUGGAUGAAAGCGGGGGAUCGCAAGACCUCGCGCGAUUGGAGCGGCCGGUAUCAGAUUAGGUAGUUGGUGAGGUAAAGGCUCACCAAGCCGACGAUCUGUAGCUGGUCUGAGAGGACGACCAGCCACACUGGGACUGAGACACGGCCCAGACUCCUACGGGAGGCAGCAGUGGGGAAUUUUGGACAAUGGGCGCAAGCCUGAUCCAGCAAUGCCGCGUGCAGGAUGAAGGCCU
rnacentral:rRNA from 1 species